AGAGUUUGAUCCUGGCUCAGAUUGAACGCUGGCGGCAUGCUUUACACAUGCAAGUCGAACGGCAGCAUGGGUGCUUGCACCUGAUGGCGAGUGGCGGACGGGUGAGUAAUGCAUCGGGACGUGUCUGUAAGAGGGGGAUAACUGUUCGAAGGAACAGCUAAUACCGCAUAAUAUCCGAGGAAGAAAGCUGGGGACCUUAGGGCCUGGCGCUUACAGGGCGACCGAUGUCUGAUUAGCUAGUUGGUAGGGUAAAAGCCUACCAAGGCGACGAUCAGUAGCUGGUCUGAGAGGACGACCAGCCACACUGGGACUGAGAAACGGCCCAGACUCCUACGGGAGGCAGCAGUGGGGAAUUUUGGACAAUGGGGGCAACCCUGAUCCAGCAAUGCCGCGUGUCUGAAGAAGGCCUUCGGGUUGUAAAGGACUUUUGUUGGGGAGCAAGGUGCACAGGUUAAGAGCUAGUGUACUUGAGAGUACCCAAAGAAUAAGGACCGGCUAACUACGUGCCAGCAGCCGCGGUAAUACGUAGGGUCCAAGCGUUAAUCGGAAUUACUGGGCGUAAAGAGUGCGCAGGCGGCUUUGUAAGCUUGAUGUGAAAUCCCCGGGCUCAACCUGGGAACUGCAUUGAGGACUGCAAGGCUAGAGUGUAGCAGAGGGGGGUAGAAUUCCACGUGUAGCGGUGAAAUGCGUAGA
rnacentral:rRNA from 1 species